rnacentral:lncRNA from 1 species
CAGGAUGUUGUGAAGGCAGAAAGCUAUUUCCUUACACAUUCUGGGGAAGUUGUCACCUGUACUUCAAAGGGAAGAACUAUACCAGUUAUCCAGAUUUCAGGUUUUGUUUAGUAAAAACAUUGAUUUUAAAGAAAUCUUUGGUGAUUGUUACUUGUAAUAAUUAUUUUCUUUAUAGGUGAACAUGUUUACAAACCAAGGAACAGUGAUCCAUUUUAACAACCCUAAAGUUCAGGCGUCUUUGGCAGCAAACACCUUCACCAUUACAGGCCACGCCGAGACAAAGCAGCUGACAGAAAUGCUUCCCAGCAUCCUCAACCAGCUUGGUGCAGACAGUCUGACCAGUUUGAGGAGACUGGCUGAAGCUCUGCCCAAACAAUCUGUGGAUGGAAAAGCACCACUUGCUACUGGAGAGGAUGAUGAUGAUGAAGUUCCAGAUCUGGUGGAGAAUUUUGAUGAAGCUUCUAAGAACGAGGCAAACUGAAUCGAAGCAACUUCUGAAGAAGGUGACACUUGGCAGAAGUUACAAUAGGAGCUGCUGUUUUAUAUCAUGACUGCUUUUUAAAAAUUUUUUGUUUAUUAUGGAUCUGAUAAAAUCUAGAUCUCUAAUAUUUUUAAGCCCAAGCCCCCCGGACACUGCAGCUCUUUUCAGUUUCGCUUAAGCCUAAUUCAUUCUUUGCAGCAAAUUAAGCUGAAGACGCCUGGGAAUAAAGUUUGGAAAAGGUUAAUAAAAUUCUUUGCCUAGU